GAAGAAAUAAAGUUGAUAGAUCAGUUAGUUGA
rnacentral:sRNA from 1 species